GGAGUCUGGACCGUGUCUCAGUUCCAGUGUGGGGGACCUUCCUCUCAGAACCCCUACUGAUCGUCGGCCAGGUGGGCCGUUACCCCGCCUGCUGCCUAAUCAGACGCAUCCCCAUCCAUGACCGAUAAAUCUUUAUUCCAAAUCAGAUGCCCUCUUCGGAAACCAUCCGGGAGUAAUCCGCCUUUCGGCGGGCUGAACCGGAGUCAUGGGAAGGUUGGAUACGCGUUACUCACCCGUGCGCCGGUCGCCAUCAUUGUGUGCAAGCACACAACAUGCUGCCCCUCGACUUGCAUGUGUUAAGCCUGUAGCUAGCGUUCAUC
rnacentral:rRNA from 1 species